UAUGUUUGAAUUUAGUUACAGAGUAAAUCAAAACCCUUGAAGAGUAAAACUCUAUAGAGGUUUCUUAUUUUCCAAGGCAAGUCAUGCUCUAAAAACAUUUUUAAUAAUAGUUAUUAUGUAUAUAUUCGGAUUUGAAUUAUCUAAAAUGGGCUAUAUUAAAAUAUGGUUCUAAGAUGAUAUACUUUCAAUGAAUCAACCAGUGGUAAUUUCAGAUUUUAUAUAUGCAAACUUACUAACUGAAAACUGUGGAAUUAAGGGAUAGGUGGGUUUAGAAAGUAAA